AUUACUUUUUUGUCACCCGAACAAAAAUUUUCCAAAUAGCUUCCUUGAGAGUUUCUUCAAAGAAAUUGCUAUAUAUUCGAAAAUAUGUUGACCAUUCUGGAAAGUUUGGCGAUACAUCCCAAUACAUCGUCUAUGGUCUCUGCUCAACAUGGCCUUAUGGUGCUAGCAUGUGAGCGCCUCAGACCUUGUGACGGUACGGUUGCCCGCUUACAAAUGCGGCAGUUAAUCUUUCAGGACGCGCGCCAUCAAGCAGCUGAAACUGCACCACGCUUGCGCUGUAUACGACGAGCGAGGUUUUUUGUAGUGUUGUACUAUUUACAACGGCGCGCGUCCUGAAGGGAUUACUUCUUGCUACUUGUGAUAUGUGUCGAGGAAUUUUGAUGGAGCGUAAUAAUAGUAUUAUUAUAAAGCAGAUGAGCUUUCGGCCCAUAUAGCCGAGGCGGUAAACGCACGGGUAUUCAGCAUGACCAUGCUGAGGGUGACGGGUUCGAUUCCCGGUCGGUCCAGGAUCUUUUCGUAAAGGAAAUUUCCUUGACUUCCUUGGGCAUAGAGUAUCUUCGUGCCUGCCACACGAUAUACACAUGCAAAAUGGUCAUUGGCAGAGGAAGCUCUCAGUUAAUAACUGUGGAAGUGCUCAUAGAACACUAAGCUGAGAAGCAGGCUUUGUCCCAGUGAGGACGUUACGCCAAGAAGAGGAGAGAGGAGGUGGAGCGUGGGAAAUCACAGAAGUUUACAUGACAUAUCAUGUAAAAGUCAUAAAAUAUCAUGUAAACUUCCAUUAUAUGUCAUGUAAUUCAGCAUGACUCUGAGUGUUUACAUGACAUAUAACACAAAUUUACAUGAUAUAUCAUGUAAAACAUCAUAACAUUAAGUUUACAUGACGUGUAAAUCUCAUUAUUUUUAUCUGUGUGGGCACGUUCCGUCUCGUUGGUUGAUCUUCCGAUUUUUCGUCGAUGAUCCGUUGUUCCGCCAACGCCUUGCAAUGCUUCUCUUUAUGACCGGGCAUCAGGCAGUACUUACCCGACGUCUCCACUAGACAGAAAUGUCUUGCCAUUUUGCUGGACAGAUGUGUCAUGACAGAAAUGUUCUCUCGCUGUUUGCAUGGAAAGCAGCGGUGUUGAUCAUUUCUGUUACGUUUUCUCUUU